AGAGUUUGAUCCCAGCUCAGGAUGAACGCUAGCGGUGCGCCUAACACAUGCAAGUCGAGCGAUCGAGCCGGACCAAACACCCUUCGGGGUGGGCGGACCGGUCACGGAGCGGCGGACUGGUGAGUAACGCGUAGCUAACCUGCCCUCUUGAUGGGGCCAACCACUCGAAAGGGUGGCUAAUACCCAAUGUUGCUCGAGGUCGAUGGACCUUUAGCCAAAGGCGGUUUUGCCGUCGCAAGGGGAGGGAGCUGCGUCCUAUUAGCUUGUUGGUGGGGUAAUGGCCUACCAAGGCGAUGAUGGGUAGCUGGUCUGAGAGGAUGGCCAGCCACAUUGGGACUGAAAUACGGCCCAGACUCCUACGGGAGGCAGCAGUGGGGAAUCUUUCGCAAUGGGCGAAAGCCUGACGGAGCGACACCGCGUGGGGGAUGAAGGUCUUCGGGUUGUAAACCCCUUUUCUGAGGGAAGAAUAAAGGCGGGAGGAAAUGCCCGCCCGAUGACGGUACCUCAGGAAUAAGCAUCGGCUAACUUCGUGCCAGCAGCCGCGGUAAGACGAAGGAUGCGAGCGUUAUCCGGAAUUACUGGGCGUAAAGGGCGUCUAGGCGGCCAGAUAUGUCACCCGUGAAAGCCCUCGGCUCAACCGAGGAAAGUCGGGUGAAACUGCUUGGCUUGGGUUCAGGAGAGGAGGGUGGAACUCACAGAGUAGCGGUGGAAUGCGUAGAUACUGUGAGGUACCCCGAUGGCGAAGGCAACCCUCCAGCCUGAUACCGACGCUGAAGCGCGAAAGCGUGGGGAGCAAAGGGGAUUAGAUACCCCCGUAGUCCACGCCCCAACCGAUGUUCACUGGGUGUCGGUCGCUAUAUAUAGAUCGGUGCCGGAGCUAACGCGUUAAGUGAACCGCCUGGGGAGUACGGCCGCAAGGCUAAAACUCAAGAGAAUUGACGGGGGCCCGCACAAGCGGUGGAGCACGUGGUUUAAUUCGAUAUAAGCGAAGAACCUCACCUGGGCUUGACAUGCUAGUGGUAGGAACCGGAAACGGGGACGACCCUGCCUUCGGGUAGGGAGCUAGCACAGGUGAUGCAUGGCUGUCGUCAGCUCGUGUCGUGGGACGUUGGGUUAAGUCCCGAAACGAGCGCAACCCCUGUCGUCAGUUGCCAGCGGGUAAUGCCGGGGACUCUGGCGAGACUGCUGGUGAAUAGCCGGAGGAAGGAGGAGAUGACGUCAAGUCAUCAUGUCCCUUAUGCUCAGGGCGACACACAUGCUACAAUGGGAGGUACAAUGGGUCGCAAUCUCGUAAGGGGGAGCCAAUCCAGAAAAACCUCUCUCAGUUCGGAUUGAGGUCUGCAACUCGACCUCAUGAAGCCGGAAUCGCUAGUAAUCGCAGGUCAGCCACACUGCGGUGAAUAUGUACUCGGGCCUUGUACACACCGCCCGUCACACCAACCGAGUGGGGGGUACCUGAAGUCGCCCUUUUGAGGGCGCCGAGGGUAACCUUCGCAAGAGGGGUGAAGUCGUAACAAGGUA
rnacentral:rRNA from 1 species